ACUGGGGAUGGGGUGGGGUGGGGGGGCAGCCCCAGCAAAGACAAACACCCUUGCGUUUGAUUCGCAUUGCUGCCUCAGAUACAUGCCUGCAUUCAGUGAAGAACUUGCAGUGCUGAGUUAUAAACAGCUCCAUUUGUAAAUGUGGCCUUGAAAAAGGCAAACCCAUCUCCGUCAUGGUUUUCGUAACACAUUUUGUACCAGAAUUGUUCGCUUUCCCAUGCAGCAGAGCAGCCUCAGUAACUUACUGGAAUCUAAUGUUUGCAACAUGGCCGCCUCCUGCUCCCAGAAGCCUUCACCAUCAGUGCCAAGCUAGCAAUAUUCAAGCCUACAGCAGAAGACUAUGACAAACCUUGCAACACAGACUCUGUGCUGACAGAGUGGCAGGCAAGCAGGCAGGCAGGCAGGCACCCACUUCCUUCUUCUACUGCCUUCCUCUGGUCACACCUUCUUUGAAAAUUGCGGUUCUCUUUACAAGAAAUUGUUACCAAAGACGAGGACAAAAAAACGAUCACAUGCCCCGAGCAGCUGAUCUCUGUUUCCUGUAUCUGCGUGUCAGCCAAAAUACUGCCUUAUACAGAGACACUGAGAAGAGGCCCCGGCAAGCCAGUUCAAGGACUGGAGGCUUUGUCUUCAGUCGUGCACAUGAAGCCGACAGGAACAGAGUCAGAACUUUGGCUGGAGUUCAAGCUGACCUCGUUGCUCUGUGCAAAUAUCUGCCACUAGAUGGCGAUGGAGACCACUGCACAGGACUGCACAGACAGGAUGGAUACUGUAAAAGCCCAGAGGGUCCUGUACAGUAAAGGGAGCCCUUGUGGAACAAUUCACUGCAAAGGCUUUGGCUUUUUAAUGAUGACGGCGCAGUCCAGACUGGAGACCGGGCACCAGAUUGGGGCGAAAUGACAGCAGCACCUGUGUUUAUGUGGGAUGUGUUGAGCUGGGUGAUUAAAAAUGAAUGUAUUCAAAAAUGGAGGUGUUGCCCCCUGAAACAAGUGAAGUUCCCCAAAAAAGCAUGAUGUGGAAAUAAAAGACAUUCAUAUAUCAUGA